rnacentral:rRNA from 1 species
CAAAAGAGUGGGAAGAGCUUUGAGUAGAGGUGACAAACCUACCGAGCCCAGUUAUAGCUGGUUGCCUGUGAAAUGAAUAGGAGUUCAGCCCUUUAAGUCUUUCCCCCCUCACCCAUGCUUACGCUAAAAUUGAUUAAGGAAACUAAAGGCGUUAAUCAAAAGGGGUACAGCCCUUUUGAUAGAAGAAACAACUUUAACAGGUGACCCAAGAUCAUAUUACCCAAGGAUUUCAAAUUAAGUGGGCCUAAAAGCAGCCAUCUUAUCAGAAAGCGUUAAAGCUCAAAUUAGCCUAUAUCCUCAUAUACUGAUAUUACAUCUCCCUCCCUGCCCCUUACCAGGCUGUCUUAUGCCCCCAUAAGAACAAUUAUGCUAAAAUGAGUAAUAAGAAGAAUUUAAUUCUUCUCCUAGCACAUGUGUAAGUCGGAACGGACCUCCCACCGACUAUUAAUCGACCCCAAACCCAGAGGGUAAUAGGUCAAAUAAACAAGAAAAACACCUAUUUUGUAUCGUUAACCCCACACAGGUGUGCCUAAAGGAAAGACUAAAAGAGAAGGAAGGAACUCGGCAAACACAAGCCUCGCCUGUUUACCAAAAACAUCGCCUCUUGCUCCAAAAAUAUAAGAGGUCCCGCCUGCCCUGUGACUAUAAGUUUAACGGCCGCGGUAUUUUAACCGUGCGAAGGUAGCGUAAUCACUUGUCUUUUAAAUGAAGACCUGUAUGAAUGGCAUCACGAGGGCUUAGCUGUCUCCCAUCUCCAGUCAAUGAAAUUGACCUCCCCGUGCAGAGGCGGGGAUAAUUACAUAAGACGAGAAGACCCUAUGGAGCUUUAGACCUAAAGUAAGUCACGUUUAACAUGCUAAAAUAACAGAAAAAACUUAGUGAUAUUUACUGAAGUGUCUUUGGUUGGGGCGACCGCGGGGUAAAACACACCCCCCAUGUGGACCGGGGAUAUUAUCCCUAAUACUCAGAGCCUCUACUCCAAGUAACAGAAAUUCUAAAAUUUCUGAUCCGGUAUAACCGAUCAACGAACCGAGUUACCCUAGGGAUAACAGCGCAAUCCCCUCUCAGAGCCCAUAUCGACGGGGGGGUUU